rnacentral:rRNA from 1 species
CCUACGGGGGGCAGCAGUGAGGAAUAUUGGUCAAUGGACGAGAGUCUGAACCAGCCAAGUAGCGUGAAGGAUGACUGCCCUAUGGGUUGUAAACUUCUUUUAUAUGGGAAUAAAACGUUCCACGUGUGGGAUUUUGUAUGUACCAUAUGAAUAAGGAUCGGCUAACUCCGUUCCAUCAGCCGCGGUAAUACGGAGGAUCCGAGCAUUAUUCGGAUUUAUUGGGGUUAAAGGGAGCGUAGGUGGAUUGUUAAGUCAGUUGUGAAAGUUUGCGGCUUAACCGUAAAAUUGCAGUUGAUACUGGCAGUCUUGAGUACAGUAGAGGUGGGCGGAAUUCGUGGUGUAGCGGUGAAAUGCUUAGAGAUCACGAAGAACUCCGAGUGCGAAGGCAGUUCACUGGACUGCAACUGACACUGAGGCUCGAAAGUGUGGGUAUCAAACAGGAUGAGAUACCCCGGUAGUC